rnacentral:rRNA from 1 species
UACGAAGGGGGCUAGCGUUGCUCGGAAUCACUGGGCGUAAAGGGCGCGUAGGCGGCCUUCUAAGUCGAACGUGAAAUCCCUGGGCUCGACCCAGGAACUGCGUCCGAUACUGGAAAGCUCGAGUCCGGGAGAGGUGAGUGGAACUGCGAGUGUAGAGGUGAAAUUCGUAGAUAUUCGCAAGAACACCAGUGGCGAAGGCGGCUCACUGGCCCGGUACUGACGCUGAGGUGCGAAAGCGUGGGGAGCAAACAGGG